rnacentral:rRNA from 1 species
AUUGAACGCUGGCGGAAUGCUUUACACAUGCAAGACGAACGGCAGCACGGACUUCGGUCUGGUGGCGAGUGGCGAACGGGUGAGUAAUGUAUCGGAACGUGCCCAGUCGUGGGCGAUAACGUAGUGAAAAUUACGCUAAUACCGCAUACGAUCUAUGGAUGAAAGCGGGGGAUCGCAAGACCUCGCGCGAUUGGAGCGGCCGAUAUCAGAUUAGGUAGUUGGUGGGGUAAAGGCCCACCAAGCCAACGAUCUGUAGCUGGUCUGAGAGGACGACCAGCCACACUGGAACUGAGACACGGUCCAGACUCCUACGGGAGGCAGCAGUGGGGAAUUUUGGACAAUGGGCGAAAGCCUGAUCCAGCCAUUCCGCGUGCAGGAUGAAGGCCCUCGGGUUGUAAACUGCUUUUGUACAGAACGAAAAGGUUUCUACUAAUACUAGGAGCUCAUGACGGUACUGUAAGAAUAAGCACCGGCUAACUACGUGCCAGCCGCCGCAGUAA